rnacentral:rRNA from 1 species
GACGAACGCUGGCGGCGUGCCUAAUACAUGCAAGUUGAGCGCUGAAGGUUGGUACUUGUACCAACUGGAUGAGCAGCGAACGGGUGAGUAACGCGUGGGGAAUCUGCCUUUGAGCGGGGGACAACAUUUGGAAACGAAUGCUAAUACCGCAUAAAAACUUUAAACACAAGUUUUAAGUUUGAAAGAUGCAAUUGCAUCACUCAAAGAUGAUCCCGCGUUGUAUUAGCUAGUUGGUGAGGUAAAGGCUCACCAAGGCGAUGAUACAUAGCCGACCUGAGAGGGUGAUCGGCCACAUUGGGACUGAGACACGGCCCAAACUCCUACGGGAGGCAGCAGUAGGGAAUCUUCGGCAAGGGACGAAAGUCUGACCGAGCAACGCCGCGUGAGUGAAGAAGGUUUUCGGAUCGUAAAACUCUGUUGGUAGAGAAGAACGUUGGUGAGAGUGGAAAGCUCAUCAAGUGACGGUAACUACCCAGAAAGGGACGGCUAACUACGUG